ACGUCUACAUUAGAUACCCCGGUAGUCCCAGCCGUAAACUAUGCGCGUUAGGUGUAUCGGUGACCACGAGUUACCGAGGUGCCGAAGGGAAACCGUGAAACGUGCCGCCUGGGAAGUACGGUCGCAAGGCUGAAACUUAAAGGAAUUGGCGGGGAGCACCACAACGGGUGGAGCCUGCGGUUUAAUUGGACUCAACGCCGGAAAUCUCACCGGAUAGGACAGACAUAUGAUAGUCGGGCUGAAGACUCUACUUGAUGAUCUG
rnacentral:rRNA from 1 species